rnacentral:lncRNA from 1 species
AUGUUUGUAGACUUGACAUCACGAUGUAUAACUGCGCUGUUAUGAAGGUAGUGAAGACCUCUGGCUGCCCCGAUGCAUAUCUCCAGCCUCUGCUCCCAGCUCAUACUAGGUAGAUCUGACCCAUACAAAUGUCUACUGAGGUUCCCAUUCUCCAUGUAGUCAUAAAUUAGAAUCAUCUCAUUUCUUUCAUCACAAUAUCCUAUCAAUGAAAUCAGAUGCGGAUGGCUGCAGAAUGAGAGAAUCUCAAUUUCUGCUUGGAACUCUUCAAUCCCUUGUGGCGACUCACGAUUACGCCUUUUCAGGACCACCUUUGUACCAUCACGCGAAACACCCCUGUAAACCUUCCCAAAUAUACCCACUCCAAUUAGAAACUUGUCAUCAAAGUUAUUACUUGCUUCCUCCAAAUCUACUAAAGGAACUCGAAAACUUUCAAAAGGAAUACGAUUACUCAAAUUUAAAGUAUCAUUUAUGGAAUUUGUUGCUUUGGAAUACUUAGUUCCCAUGGUGGAGUGCAACCAUUAAUUGAACUUCUCCUGACUGUUUGCCUUCAAAGUUGAAAACAUAGAUAAGAAAAGAACAAAGUCAACCCUAUUGAGGAAUGUAGAACAAUUGCAAGUAUAUAUAAUUGAUGAAAAUCACAAAUAUAUAUAUAUAUAUAUAUAACAGAAGCUUGAAGAAGCUCUGAUUUUAACAGAACAGUAGAGAUUUGGAGAAGAUGAGAGACUGAAAAGUCUUACUACUAUGCACCAAAAAGACAAAUACCUCUUCACUCGUGUAUUUGGGCAGUUAUCUCAAACUUUUUUCAGUUCCUGAUUAGGACAUAUACUUGUUGAUUAUAUGAAACUAUUUUUUCCUUUCGUCUAUGUUUCUCCUUUAUUAUAUGAAACUGUCUUUUUCUCUAUAACUAAUACUUAAUAUUUUAUGUUGUGAUGAUGCAUUACAGGACACUAGAAUAGUAAUAUUUUAAGUUCGUAUAGAUUUUUGGAUUUCUGCUGCAUCAUUGAGUGAAAUCUAUAUACAAUAAUAAAGCUAAAUACAGACAAAAUGAUGCGACACGUCUCGCCAAAAAUCAUAUUUAUUUUUUGGCGUUUUAAUUUUUUUUCUCCUAAUUUUUACGAAUCAAUUGUCAAUUGCAGUUCUGAUUGUGCAUUUAGUAAUGCAAUAAAGAAAAGACUCUGUGUGCAAGAGAAUGAUUGCUUGCUGUGUACUCUCACUAUUCCAUAUUAACUUAACUUUUGGGAUUUUUUUAUUGUUUAAAAUAAUUGAAUUGUUCAAAGUUCAAGAUGGAUGUUUGAAUUUUUUUCCAUAUUUAUCCUUUUCUUUAAUGAAGUUUGAUAUUUUCUUGAAGAUAAAUUGCAUUGUUUGCAAAGUUAUAUUUACGAUUUCAGAAAGAAUAACAGUAGAAAGUAUGAUUUAAAUUAUGCCCUUGAAUGUUUUUAAUAAGUAUGCAUUGACUUACAAAUUCAGUUAAUAUGGAAUAGAGGGAAUAUUAAAUAUUCAUUUUCAUGAUGCAAAAUCAAAAUGUGUUUUGACUAUUUUUUUUUAUUGAAUCAUUAAUUAUACUCCAUUUGUUCCUAUUUAGUUGUCACCAUUUUAGGUUUCACAUCCCUUUAGAAACUAAGUAAAUUUAUCAUUUUGUCGAUUUAUAAUAAGGCAAUGUAUUACCAUAUCAUAUGCAAACUUCCCAGAGGCUCAAAAUUGUUCCAUGUUUUCAAAAGCGUUUUCGCUGGCAUGACAUUAAUGGAGCGAAUUUCUAUGUAUGAAGAAUUUAAUAGAAACCAUAUACAACAUGUGUAACUGCCGGACAUUGACUUAUAGUUAGGGGAGGAACUACCCUUGCCCGAGGAGUGUCAAACGACAACCUUUUGCUGGAAAAUUAAUUGUAUAUAUAGGUUAACUUUGCUUUAAUAAAUAUAUAAACAACUAAAACAACAUGCACAUUACAGGCUUUUUUGUGUAUUUACUUCUUUAUAUUUUGAUAUCCUUUUAACGGAAGUCUUGGCUCCGCCUUUGCUUGCAGUCAGGAUCAUCUUGAAUUACAGCCUCUUGGAGAUGAAGUGCAUACUCCAGUUUCCACAGCACCUCACCCAUUGAUGGCCUAUCUACACCAGUUUCAGCUAAGCAUCUCACCGCUGUUUCUCCAAACUUACUGAGGGAAUCUGGUCUUAUUUUGCCAACAAGAUUGGGAUCUAUGAUUCGUUCCAAUUGUCCAUUCUUCUGACUUUCCAUUGCCCAAUUAGCUAAGCUAACCAUCUCCAAUUGUACUCGGGCAGGCCUAGCACAAAGAACUUCGAAUAAAACAACACCAUAAGAAUAAACAUCAGAUUUUUCUGUAAGCUCUCCCCACAUAGUAUAUUCUGUUAAAGAAUGACAAAAGUCCCACAUCGGUGGUUAAUGAGAUGGGUGGACUCCUUAUAAGGCUUGGGCAAUUCUCCCCCUUUGAGCUAGCUUUUGGGGUGUGAGUUAGGGCUAAGACCUAAUUUAACAUAUUCAGGGGCAAUGUAGCCUAUACUUCCUUUCACCAUUGUGCUAAGAUGGGUUUGAUCAAGCUCAAGAAUUGUCUUGGAUAUUCCGAAAUCAGUAAUUUUUGCCACAAAAUUCUCAUCAAGCAAUAUGUUUGAAGAUUUGACAUCACGAUGUAUAACUGCGUUGCUAUGAAGGUAAUGCAGACCUCUGGCGGCCGCGAUGCAUAUCUCCAACCUCUACUCCCAGCUCAUAGUGGGUAGAUCUGAGCCAUACAAAUGUCUAGUGAGGCUCCCAUUCUCCAUGUACUCAUAAAUUAGAAUCAUCUCAAUUUAUGUUUGGAACUCUUUAUGAGAAGUAUGAUAACACCUUUUCAAGGCCACCUUUGUUCCAUCACGUAAAACACCCCUGUAAACACUCCCAAAUCCACCCUUUGCAAUGAAAAACUUGUCAUCGAAGUUGUUCGUUGCUUCCUCCAAAUCUAGAAAAGGAACUCGAAAACUUUCAAAAGGAACGCGAUAACUCGAGUUAGAAGCAUCUGCUAUGUGAGUUGUUUGCUUGGAAUACUUGCUUCCCAUUAAUAGAUAAAGAAAUCUAGCCUGUUCCUGUUUAGUUGAGCAAAAUCGGAAACUCACAAGUACAGGCUUUACUAUGGCAAAGUUGAAAAAAAUGAACUAAAAUUGAGUAACCUAGAACAAUUGCAAGUAUAUAGAAUUGAGGAAACAUGUAGAUGAAAAUCACAAAUAUAUGAUAACAGAACAGAAGCUUAAGGAAGCUGAUUUUACCACAAAAAAUGGAGAUUUGGAGGAUAAGAAGACCAGAGGCUGAAAAGUCAUUACUGUUCAAGCGGGGCUUUGGAUAGUUACAAACAAACCUAUUUUUUUUAAAAAAAUUUAAGAGUGUGAAUUUUAUAUCUAAAUUAUCAUUUAUUAAUUUGAAAAGACACGUCUUUCUUUUAUUAUCCUCUCAUCAUGGUAUAUGUAAUACACUUUCUCUUUUAUUUUGAAAAAUUAUCACAUCAUACUUCACAUGGGACAAAACAUUUCACCUUCACCAAAAUUAAAUUUUUUAGGCAUUUUUUAAGUUGUUUCUUUUUCCUCACUACUUUUUUUUUCAAAUUACCCUUAUGCAAAGAACCUUAACCUCAACAAUUCAAAAUAAAAUUCACGAGGAAAGAAAAUAUAAGUCAUAAUUUUACUCAACAGUGGAUAAAAUUUGGCAUGUUAUUGCUACUAAUGACUUGAAUAAGCUAAGCUAAAUUUUAUUAUUAAAAGAAAAAAAUUAUUACUCAUUAAAUUCAAAAUUUGUAUGCCAACGACUUUAUGGAAGGGCAUUUGUUUAAUUUUUCAAACGUUAAAAUUUAUAAAAUUGAAGAUUUGCAACAUUUUUUAGUUUUUUUAAAAAAACAUAGAUCGAUUUUAUUAAUCUGUUCAUUUUAUUUUACGUGGAGAAAUUUGAGUAAUAAGAUCAUAUCUCUUAUUUUUCUGUUGUAUGAAAAAUAAAAUAAAGAAAUUUACACGAACUGUUAACCGCCAAAGAAGGGAAAAUAGCAUAUUCAAGUCAUUAGCAACAAUCAUAUGCUUCAUUUUAUCCUCCAUUGAAUUAUAAAAUUAGGACUUAUAUCUUCUUUUCUCAUUAAUUUUAUUUUGAAUCGUUGAAGUUAUAGUUCUUUUCAUGAAAGUAAUUAGAAGAAAAAGUAACGGGGAUAGAAACUUAAUUAAAAAUGGGUUAAAGAUUUAAUUUCAUGAAGAGUUCCGUUUAUAUAAACCUAAGCUAUUUAUAUAAAAAAAAAUGGACAAAGAACAAACUUGAUAUUUUUUUGAAUAUUUAAAGGACUAAAAUCGACAAAUGUAUAGUUAAGGGACUAAAUCAGCAAGUGUAUGGUUAAGAUACCAAACUUGAUAAGUUUUUGAAUAGUUAAAGGACUAAAUCCGAUAAGUGUAUAGUUAAGAGACCAUUUAGACCUACUCCUAUAGUUAAGAGACUAUUUAUGACAUUUUCUCAAAUUAUGUGUAUUGAUAUAAAUUAUUUACUAUUUAAAUAUUACUAGUAAAAUUACCCACGCUUCACGUGGAAAUUUAAUAUCACUAAAUUUAUAAAAUAAUACUUAAAACCUAUCAGUCAUUAAACUAAAACACUAUAUUAUUUUACAUAACAGAUUACAUAGUAACGAACAUUAAAAAUGUAAAGGAAAAUGAAAAUUAUAUCAUAUUAUCAUUUAUCCUUAAUAAUAUAACCAUAAAUUUAUGACUGUAAAAAAAAUACCAGGAUCUGUAACAUAAGCAAUGGUGUCAGUGAGCAACUCAACAGGAGCAAAGUACACGAAUAUUUAAUUGUGCAGAAGAAGAAGAAUUAAGAAGUUCAGAAUUUUUGUUGCUUUAAAAUGAGAGGAAAUCCCUCUAUUUAUAGACAACAAAGGGUAGUGUGAACAAAUAUUUUGUUGUGCCUUAUCGGAAAUGUCACAACUAUUUGGAAAAGUUUCAACCCUUCGAAAAGGUCACAACCUUUCAUAAAAGUCGCAACUUUUCAUAAAAGUCGCAACUCUUCAUUGAAGUCACAACUUUUAAUAAAAGUCACAAUUUUUCAUAAAAGGAAAGGCUAGUUUUGGAAAUAAAUAAAUUAAAAGGGAAUCCUGAUUUGUGGUGACGCCACGUAGGCGGGCCUAGAGUUUUCUUUUAUAUAUAUACUAGUAAAAUUACUUGUGCUUCGCGCUGGAAUUUAAUAGUAUCAUGAAAUUUAUAAAAUAAUACUUAAAACCUAUCGGUCAUUAAAACUAAAACACUAUGUUAUCUUACAUAUAAGAUUACAUAGUAACAAACAUUAAUAGCUUAAAGGAAAAUGAAAAUUAUUACAUCUUUAUCAUUUAUCCUUAAUAACAUAAGCAUAAAUUAAUGACUGUAAAAAUGCAUACCAGGAUUUGUAACAUAAGCAAUGGUAUCAGUGAGCCACUCAAUAGGAGCAAAGUUAACAAAUAUUUAAUUGUGAAAAAGAAGAAGAAGAAUAUAUAUAUAUAUAUGGGCGGAGCUACCCUUUCCCGAAGGGGUGUCGAGCGACACCCCUUCGUCGAAAAAUUACGUUGUAUAGGUAGGUUAAAUUUUAAUUUUAUUCCUAUAUAUAUUGUAGUAGUCACUCUUUAACACAAGAUGAAGAGUUAGCUCAGUGGUUGAGGGGCUGCAAAAUUUCUCCUUAAUCUUUGGCCUGGGUUUUUAAAAAAAAAAUUAGCGUUUUUUUUAAUUAACAUUAAGACUUCAAGAAGCAUCUUUUGUCUUUAAAUUAAUUUUUAAGCGAUUGACUUAAAUAAAGUUGACUUUAAUAUUUUAUUUUUAAAAAGAAAAAAUGUAUUUAGGGAUUAAACAAAUCCCUAAUUUCAAAAUUAAAAGGUUUGAGGAGGAAGAGCCCAAAAAAAUCGUUUUGGUUCGCUACUGAGUCGUUGCCUUCGUUGUGCCUCUUUGUCGGGUGUCGCCAAACGAUUGUGAUAAUGUAAUUAUUUUUUUCUUUCAUUAGUAAAAAUUGUUUUGUUGAUUUUUAUGUGUACUUACUACUUUGCAUUUUGACACCCCUCAAUGUAAAUUCUAGCUCCGUCACUAUAUAUAUAUAUAUAUAUAUAUAUAUACUUCCUCCGUUUAAAAAAUAAUGAUCUAUUUUCCUUUUUAGUCCGUUUAAAAAAAUGCUUUUCCUAUUUUAUAAUACUUUAAUUUUAGAUUUCCACAUGACAUAUUUAAGACAUCUUAAAUUUUAUUUUUUUUUUAAAUUAAAAAAAUUCCAUGUAGAAUGAUAUUUGAUCCUUCUCACAUUUUUUUUGCUCUUUUUUUUUCUUCGGCUAAUUUGAAUUUAUUAUUUUGAUGAUCAAAUUUAUUUUUCACUAACUUUCUUGUAAAAUUUAUCAUAUAUGGUCCAAAUUUUUACUCUUUUCAUUAGUUGAAGUACACUUUUUUUGGAUAUAAUACACAAAUGUGCCCUUUAACUUGGCCUAAUUUAAUAUUUAUGUCCUCCAAUUUGGGUGUACACUAGUAGAUACUUAAACUAAAGUUGAACAAGUAGACAUAUGAGUUCUACGGGGCAUAAUACAUGUAGGACACCAGGUAUGAUGCAAAUUGCUACGAGAGAUGUAAGGUGUUAUUCAACUUUAUACUAAUUUAAGGCCUCAUUUGUUUGCAGUUAACGAAGGUCUGAAUCUUAAUAAUUCAGAUUUAACAUAUUAAGUGCAUUUCUUUUUAAGGUCUGAAUCUUAAUCAUUCGGAUUCAAUCCAUUAAGUACAUUUAUUUUGUUUUUUUGGUAAGGCCUCUUAACGGGUCUUGUCUUAAUGAGUCUGAAUGAAUCAGAUCUAUAAUAGAGUUUUAAUACCAUUCAGACUCUUAAGUGUUAUUUUAGAAGAAAAAUAUUCUCUUCUUCCCCGCUUCUCUUCUUGGCAAAGUUUCAAGUUUCUUGUUCUUCUUUUUCAUUCAACUACCAUUUUUUAUCUUUUGAAUAAGUAAGUUUUCAUAAUCUUUUACUAAGUAUUUAUCUAGUAUUUUUAAUAUACACAAUAUUUUUGGAUGAAUUGAUAUUUAUGAAGAACUCUCUUUGUUACAAAUAUUGAGUAAAAUCACCAAAACAAAAGAAAGAAAGAUAAAAAAAAUCCCUCGUCUACUUAUUUUUGAAACUUUCACAAAAGCGUUGAUUUAGUGUCAAAACUUCUUUUGGAAGAAGUUAUCAUGGUUUAUGUGAAAAAGUUGUUUGAGAAGACAAACAAAUCGUUUUUCUGGGGUGGGGGUUAUAAUAUUAUUCUUGAAACAAUUUUUUAGAGAAGUUAUCUUGGUUUUGGAUUAUAAUUUUUAUUGAAAUAGUGUUUAUUUCCUAAUUUUUUUAAAAGAUAAAUUAUGCACAUUCAGAUAUAUAUAUUGAAAACAAACAAUCUUAAUCAUUCAGUGUUUAGACCUAUAAUAUUCAAAUGUGUAUUUAGAUUCUGAUAUCUUAAUUUUAAUACACAUCUUUAUUAAGAUGUGUAUUUAAAUUCAAACAUCUUAAUCUUAAUGUAAACAAAUUAAUGAGGUCUAAGUGUCUACUUGUGCACACCAAAAUUGAAGGACAUUAUGUAAGUUAAAACCAAAUUAAAUGACAUAUUUGUGUAUUAAUCACAUUUUUCAUUCUGUCGCAUCUUCCUCAGUUCUUUCUUUUCUAACUAUGGUCUCAUUAUCUUCCUUACAAUUUCUCAUAUUACUAAAAUGUCAACAACAACAAUAACAUACUCAGUGAAAUCCCACAAAAUGGUUCUGAAGAGGGUAGAAUCUAUGCAGACCUUACCAUUAUCUCUUCAAGGUAGAGAGAAUGUUUUCAAAAGACUCUUGACUCUCAAAGCAGUAACUAAAUGAAAAAAUGAUUGUGGGGGAGAAAUAUGAAAACUAAUAGCAAAGCAAUGCAUAACAUAUAUGCAAGAAAUUGCAGCCACAACAAUAACAAAAUGCGAUCACCUAAACACCAAUAAAUUGACUAAAUAGGAUUCAGCUCUACUGUCCCAGACCUAUAACUUGUUAUUAGAAACAUUUCAUGAGAAUGGGAUAUGGUUGCUACAUGUAGGGUUAGGAAUGUGUAAAAAUCGAAUCGAAAAAAAAUGCUAUUAGUUUAUUGUUAUUUUUUUUUAAAGGUUAUAUAAAAAAUAUGGGAUUAUCGAUUUGAUUUUGGUUUUUUAAUAUUGGGUAAACCGAUAAAACAUUAGACCGUAGUAAUUUACUAUGUACACCUAUAUAAAGAUUAGAUAUCAACCUCAGUUGGUUACUGUCUUUUUUCCUUUAGCCUUCAAUUCACACUUCGUAGUCACUUUGAGUUCAUAACUUUACAUUAAACAAAUCAUCAAAACCUAAAGUAAGAAUCCUAUUAAUUUUUCUUUGUGUUGCACUUGCAUAGUUCUUUACUUCUUUUCAUGUUAGUUAUUACCAUUUCUACUUUUUGAGUGUUCCAUAUAGUUACAUUAUUGUCUUAUUGCGUCAAAUUAUUGGAGAAUUCAGUUAUUUGUUUUAUAAGCCUUUUUUUAUUGGUUAAUCUAAAACCCGAACCGUUAAAGAAAAUAUCUUAUUGAUUUGAUUAUUAAUUUAGCAUAUUUAAAAACUGAAAACCUAUAAACUGAAUCAAUAAUGCAUAAAACCAAACUGAACAUAUACACACCCCUAAUUACAUCAUUAACACUGCAAGAAAGAGAAGUGUCAAAAUAAAUCGACCAUAUUACCAGACCUGACCCUGUCAUCCAUCCCUAUUACCAAAUAAUAAUGAAAAAGAGAGACCAAAUAACAAACUUUAAUGUUACAUUUUACUUUAUUUCACAGCCACUAAUUCUGUAGUAUCACCUUGUAUCUCAAACACAUCAAACAUCCAGAAAAAUUUGAGGGUUCUCUGAGCAAUCUCAAAAGAGGUAUGCAAACUUCAUUUUGCCUCUUUACAAUAAGAAAAUGUAUUACCAUAUGCAAACUUACCAGAGGCUCAAAAUUGUUCCAUGUUCUGAAAAGUGUUUUCGCUACCAUGACAUUAAUGGAAUGAUUUUCUAUGUAUGAAGAACUUAAUAGAAACCAUUUACAACAUGUGACACACCUAAUAUGUUGGGAAGUAGGAGAACAUAUAAAGUAGUUAGGAUGAUUGAUAAAGUGAACAUGGUUCACUACUUGUUGUCUUAUGUGUACUCUAUUAGAAGAACCAGGUUCUCAGACGUGACUGCAGACAAUCUGUACAAAUAGGAGAGAUUGUGGCAAAGAAGAAAAAGUGCAGAAAUAAAUGAGCGGAAAAAGAAAUAAAGAAAGAGCUGAAACGUAGGACCAAAGAAGGAAAGAAAUAAAGAAGGAAAGAAACAAAUAAGGAAAGAAAAAAAGAAGGAAAAGAAGGAAGUCAAAUAAGGAAAGAAAUAAAGAAGUAGCAAUUCAAGUCAAAUAAGGAAAGAAGUAAAUAUAGACAAGUUCAGAAGGAAACAGAUUUGUUAUUCCUCUCCUUGUGGAAGUUGAUGAAGGCGAAUCAAACUCUAUAAAAGGUUCAAGCCAAAGAAGAAAAAAAGUCGUCUUUGCAUAAACAUAAAUUGAGAGAAUUUUCCAGCAAAUCCAGAACGAUAUCUAUUGCAUAUUCAUGAAUUUCAUCAUCUUGAGAGCAAUAGUUAUUGGAGCAAAAACGCAAGGCUUCGUCACAGGAACACGAGGACCAGGUUCACGAGUUGUGUUCCACUUUGAACUAUUGAAUGUUGAAGUCAGAUCAAUUAAAGUCUAGGGUUAUUAAUCUUUGUUGAUUUGUUCUAGGUUUAUUAUUGAGUUGUAAUAAUUCCUAGAUUUUGUAACAAGAAGUAGGUUUGACUUCUUGGGGGUAGAGUCUCGAGAGAAUUGUAACAAGAAGUGGGUUUGACUUCUUGGGGGGUAGAGUUAAGAGAGAGUUUGUGAGAAUUGUAAACAAGAAGUGGGUUUGACUUCUUGGGUGGUUAGAGUUAAGAAGAGUUGAGAGUUUUUGUAAACAAGAAGCGAGUUUGACUUCUUGGUAAGUUGAGAGUUUUCAAUUAUAGUUAAUCGAAAAGGGUAGAAGUUUAGAGUAAGAUUCAUUGAUUAACUAAGUUGUAAAUCUUGAAUUAAAAUAAAACUUCGGUGUGAUUUUUCCCUUCAUUGAGUUAGGAAGGUUUCCACGAAAUAUUGGUGUUACUGUUUACUAACGUAAGCAUCUUAUGUAUUAUUCAAGAACCUGGUUCUUGAAUAUCUUGUGUACUAUUAUGGUGUAUCUAAAAGAAGAAAUAGAACAAUUGUUGAAAUGACCAGAACUAUGAUGAAUGAGAAAGGGCUGCCAAAAUAUUUUUGGACAGAAGUAGUACAUACAACGGUGUACAUCCUCAACAGGUGCCCGACAAAGGCAUUGAAGGACAAUACACCAGUUGAAGCUUGGAGUGGAAUGAAACCUUCUGUAAGUUAUUUUAAAAUUUUCGGGUGUAUUUGUUAUGCUCGUAUACCUGUUGAGAAAAUAACAAAAAUGGAUGAAAAAAAGUUUUAAAAAUGUAUAUUUCUUGGUUAUAGUGAUGUGACAAAAAGGCUAUAGGCUUCUUGAUGUCAAAACUAACAAACUUGUUGUUAGUAGAGAUGUCGUUUUUUAUGAAAAAACAUCAUGGAAUUGGAAGGAUAAAAAGAUAGAGAAUACUUCUAUCAUAUCUUUAGAUGUGUCAAAUCAAGAAGAGGAUGAGGAAGAGGAAGAUGUCCCUGAAGGGGGAGAAAUCCCAGAUUCAGAUGAUGAAGAACUACCUCCUUGAGGAACAAAAAUGUUGAGUGACAUUUAUCAAAGAUGCAACUUUGCCGGUCUUGAGAAAGAAAAUUAUGAGGAGGUAAUAAGCAUGAUGUUUGGAAGAAAGCCUUGGCAGAAGAAAUUCGGAUGAUUGAAAAAAUAAUAUUUCGGAGUGUGUGACUAUACCUAAAGAAAGAGAAGUUGUAAGUCUAAAAUGGAUUUACAAAACCAAACUCAAUAAAAAAAGGAGAUAUUCAAAAGCACAAGAGAAAGGCGAAAUUCAGUUGCAAUUAUUGUCAGACAGGAGAACAACUUGCUGACAUCUUCAACAAAGCACUUCCAAGAGAAAAGUUUUGGUAUCUUCGAGAAGGCAUUGGAAUUGUCAAGCAAAUGCAUUGGGGGAGUGUUGGAAUUAAUGCAUUCACACCUUGAUGUUUAGUCUUCCAAUAUUGUUUUUUAGUUUUUCAAUAAGUUUUGGUAUCUUCGAGAAGGCAUUGGAGUUGUCAAGCAAAUGCAUUGGGGGAGUGUUGGAAUUAAUGCAUUCACACCUUGAUGUUUAGUCUUCCAAUAUUGUAUUUUAGUUUUUCAAGAAGUCUUUUAGGAGUUUGUAAUACAUGUAUUUAAUAAAUUGUGAUACAUGUAUCUAGUUAUUUGUGUAAGACCUUUGGUUUUACAUUUUAUUAGUAUAAAUAGAGAUGUAAUAGAUGAUUCUAAAUCAUCUCAAGUGGCCUUAAGUAGCAUAUAUAAAACUUGAGCAUCUUACGUUCUUCUCAAACCUUUUUGAGUCAUGAUUAUUACAUAUACUCGACCUACACUCCACUCGUGUAUUUACUUCUUUAUAUUUUGACAAUUCUUUAAUGAAAAUCCUGGGUUCUCCGCUGCUUGCUGUCAAGAUCAUCUUAUCUUAAAUGACAAACUCUUGGAGACGAUGUGCAUAUUCUAGUUUCCACAACACAUCACCCAUUGAUGGCCUAUCUUCACUAGACAAAGCUAAGUAUUUCACCGUUGUUUCUCCAAAUCUCCCGAGGGACUCUGUUCUUAUUUUGGCUGCAAGAUUGGGAUCUAUGAUUUGUUCCAACAGUCCCUUAUUAUACAACUCCACUGCCCAUUCAGCUAAGCUAACUGUCUCCCUUGGAAGAGAUUGAACUAUGGCAGACCUAGCACGAAGAACUUCGAAUAAAACAACACCGAAAGAAUAAACAUCAGAUUUUUCUGUCAGCUAACCCCUUAAAAAAUAUUCAGGGUCAAGGUAGCCUAUACUUCCUUGCACCAUUGUGCUAAGAUGGAUUUGAUCAAGCUCAGUCCCUUUCUUGGAUAUUCCAAAAUCAGUAAUUUUUUCCACAAAAUUAUCAUCAAGCAAUAUGUUUAUAGACUUGACAUCACGAUGUAUAACUGCGCUGGUAUGAAGGUAGUGCAGACCUCUGGCUGCACUACAAAAAAAUGUUUAAUUUGUGACGGUUAACUUGUGUGAGUUUUUAGAAAUUCCACUUGCAAUUUAUUUUAUGACGUUUUAUUUUGACCCCCACAAUAUAAAACUUUUUGUGGUGAUUUUAUUAAAGAGGUUAGAAAGCCCCACAAUUUAAUAUUGUUUGUGGCGAUUAUCAACCCCCCAAAAUUUAUUAAAUUCGUUUUAUAUAUAUAUAAACAAAACUCGUAUGCCAAAUCAAUAGUCAUAUGCAUUUAUAUUUAUUUUGUUUGUAUUUUAACUUUAUUUAAGCUUUUAUAGUACUAGUUGAUUUUUAAGGUGAAACAUUUUAAUUAUUAGUUAUUGCAAAUUAAUAAAAAAAAAAAAAAUUGUUCUAUGCACUAAAAAAAUUAUUUUAUCUUUUAUUUGGACCCAACUCAACCAAAUUUUAAUACCUCUCUUACCAAAAUAUUUAAAAAGCCUAAAGACUAUAAUUAAUCCCCCUAAAACCUUUCAAAUCCUAUCAAAUAUGAAAUAACCACCCCUCCUUCCCACAAUCCCACCCAUUCCCACGUAAAACACACACACACACCCCAGUUCUUUUUCCCAUUAACUCAUAUCUUUUUCCCCUUUAAUGCAUUUCUCUUCCGUAACCCCCUCCCCUCUCCUUUUUCCUUUUGCCUCUCACUCUUCUUUAUUUUGUUUUUUGUUUCAUUUUUUAUGUGUGUGAAUUUGCUAAUUACUUUUUCUUUUAAUGUAGGCUUUGCAAAGUGAAAUAAAUGGUAAAUAUUUUUUUAUAAUAUAAAGGUAAUUCUCUAUUAGGCGAGUUCGAUGAUUCAUAUUAGAAUUUAAAAGUUAUAUUAUUCUUUAAUUUAUAGGUAUUUUGUGUUUUGCAAGUUGUUAAACUUAAUGUAUCAAUAUUCUUACAUAUUGAAGGAUUUGUUCAAAUUCUCACCACAUCGUAUAGUCAUCCAUACUUAAUCUUUGAUUGAUUUAUGGUAAGUCUCAAUUUUGUUUUUGUUUAGCUAAGGAUCAUGCAAUCAUUUUAUUCUUGAUUGGAUUUGACUAUUACAAAUUAAACGACGAUUUUGCAUAUGAAAUUGUGAUAUAUAUCAAUAUAACUUUUUCAAUACGGUAAAUUGUUGAAGUUAUAAUUAUCUUUUUUGGCAAGUGAAAGAAAAAAAAUAAGGUCAAGGAAGAAAGUCUAACUUAAAAAUUAUCAAAAGUGAGAAAUAUUUGAACCAACGUGUUAAAUCGAAUGUAUCUUUAUAUGAUUUUGAAAAACAAAAUUUUAGUUUGUGCUUAUGUAGGAACAAUCAUGAAGUUGUUAUUAUUCACAUUAUUAGGGUAUAUGAGAGAACAUAAAAUACAUAAUCUUAUAAUUUGUUGUCAAAUCAAAGCUCUAUAUGAAUUUAUUUUUGAAAUGAAUUGAUUUUUAUUUUUUUUAUCAAGAUGUAUGAAGAUAUAUGAAUCAAUAUAUGUUUAUCUAAUUGUGUAUAAUAUUUUCAUUGUUUCAGCCUGAUGCGGAGAUUGGGCUUAUUUCACUUUAAAUAAAAAGAUUGGAUGACAACAACUUAUUUCACCAAAUAAAUGCAAGCUAUAGAAUUUUUUUUGUAUUUAUUUUGAUGUGGAUUUUAUAGGAUUUGAAAAUUGAAUGUUGAAGUUAUUAUACAAAAGAUUGUAUUAUUUUUAUUUGACAUAAUUUGAAUUUGUGAAGCUUAUUAUUAAAAAUUUAUUUAAUGUAAUUUGAUUUUCUUUAAAUAUGUUAUUUAGUAAAAUUAUCCAUUAUUUUGAAGGCUUGAUGUAAAUCAAAUUCCACAUUUAUUAUUAAAAUAAUAAUAAUAAUUUUGUAAGACUCCACAAAUAUCUCUCUCUCUCUCUCUCUCUCUAUAUAUAUAUAUAUAUAUAUAUAAAGCUGAAUCUAAGCAAUUCUACGUGGCACCUCUCUAUGGUCACCAUUCUUUUUUUUUCUCUCAAUUUUUGGAAUUUUUUUUAUUCAUUUCAAUAAUCUAUUAAAUACCUCUAAUGCAUUAUUAACCUACAAUUAAAGAGGAUAAUGAAAAGUUUAAACAUAAAGAAUAUCUUUAUUGUUGCAAUAGAGAAUGAAGAGUUGUAACGGAUGUCAAGAACUUAUUGCAAUCAACCAAUUUAAAAUCUAUAUAUAAAAAAAAGAAGGUAAAAUAGCACAUAAUCUGAACCAUGUAAUCUGAAGGUAAAUUGAAUUUUUAAAAGCUUCAUUGUCUCAGAUAAAUCAAAUUUUUGAUUUGUUUUUAUAUAAAAUUAGGCAGGAAAUCUAUGUAUAUAUAUAAUAAUAAUAAUAAUAAUAAUAAUAAUAAUAAUAAUAAUAAUAAUAAUAAUAAUAAUAAUAAUAAUAAUAAUAAUAAUAAUAAUAAUAAUAAUAAUAAUAAUAAUAAUAAUAAUAAUAAUAAUAAUAAUAAUAAUAAUAAUAAUAAUAAUAAUAAUAAUAAUAAUAAUAAUAAUAAUAAUAAUAAUAAUAAUAAUAAUAAUAAUAAUAAUAAUAAUAAUAAUAAUAAUAAUAAUAAUAAUAAUAAUAAUAAUAAUAAUAAUAAUAAUAAUAAUAAUAAUAAUAAUAAUAAUAAUAAUAAUAAUAAUAAUAAUAAUAAUAAUAAUAAUAAUAAUAAUAAUAAUAAUAAUAAUAAUAAUAAUAAUAAUAAUAAUAAUAAUAAUAAUAAUAAUAAUAAUAAUAAUAAUAAUAAUAAUAAUAAUAAUAAUAAUAAUAAUAAUAAUAAUAAUAAUAAUAAUAAUAAUAAUAAUAAUAAUAAUAAUAAUAAUAAUAAUAAUAAUAAUAAUAAUAAUAAUAAUAAUAAUAAUAAAGCUAAAUAUAAUCUAGGUGAUGUGACACCUCUCAAUGGCCACCAUUCACAUUUAUUAUUUUUUUCUCAUUUUUUGAAUUUUCUUAUUUAUUCCAUAUUUAUAUGCUAUAUUAAAAGGUUAAAAAUAACUUUAAAAUUAUAUUUUCUUAAUUACACCUCCCUCAUUUACUCUUCUAUAUUUUCAUAAUUUUUUUCAGUUUAUGAAAUCCAAAGCCAAUCACUAAUCCUCUAAUUAAUAACUCCACCUCAUUGGUUACUCUACAGAAUAAAAGAAUUUUUUUUAUCUUCCUUGGGAUUAAUUCUCAUGACUUCACCUAUCACUAUAUAAGUAUCAGAAAUACAUGCCACAUUUGACAAAAAUUGCUAUCAUCUCAAUGAUUUAGGGUNNNNNNNNNNNNNNNNNNNNNNNNNNNNNNNNNNNNNNNNNNNNNNNNNNNNNNNNNNNNNNNNNNNNNNNNNNNNNNNNNNNNNNNNNNNNNNNNNNNNNNNNNNNNNNNNNNNNNNNNNNNNNNNNNNNNNNNNNNNNNNNNNNNNNNNNNNNNNNNNNNNNNNNNNNNNNNNNNNNNNNNNNNNNNNNNNNNNNNNNNNNNNNNNNNNNNNNNNNNNNNNNNNNNNNNNNNNNNNNNNNNNNNNNNNNNNNNNNNNNNNNNNNNNNNNNNNNNNNNNNNNNNNNNNNNNNNNNNNNNNNNNNNNNNNNNNNNNNNNNNNNNNNNNNNNNNNNNNNNNNNNNNNNNNNNNNNNNNNNNNNNNNNNNNNNNNNNNNNNNNNNNNNNNNNNNNNNNNNNNNNNNNNNNNNNNNNNNNNNNNNNNNNNNNNNNNNNNNNNNNNNNNNNNNNNNNNNNNNNNNNNNNNNNNNNNNNNNNNNNNNNNNNNNNNNNNNNNNNNNNNNNNNNNNNNNNNNNNNNNNNNNNNNNNNNNNNNNNNNNNNNNNNNNNNNNNNNNNNNNNNNNNNNNNNNNNNNNNNNNNNNNNNNNNNNNNNNNNNNNNNNNNNNNNNNNNNNNNNNNNNNNNNNNNNNNNNNNNNNNNNNNNNNNNNNNNNNNNNNNNNNNNNNNNNNNNNNNNNNNNNNNNNNNNNNNNNNNNNNNNNNNNNNNNNNNNNNNNNNNNNNNNNNNNNNNNNNNNNNNNNNNNNNNNNNNNNNNNNNNNNNNNNNNNNNNNNNNNNNNNNNNNNNNNNNNNNNNNNNNNNNNNNNNNNNNNNNNNNNNNNNNNNNNNNNNNNNNNNNNNNNNNNNNNNNNNNNNNNNNNNNNNNNNNNNNNNNNNNNNNNNNNNNNNNNNNNNNNNNNNNNNNNNNNNNNNNNNNNNNNNNNNNNNNNNNNNNNNNNNNNNNNNNNNNNNNNNNNNNNNNNNNNNNNNNNNNNNNNNNNNNNNNNNNNNNNNNNNNNNNNNNNNNNNNNNNNNNNNNNNNNNNNNNNNNNNNNNNNNNNNNNNNNNNNNNNNNNNNNNNNNNNNNNNNNNNNNNNNNNNNNNNNNNNNNNNNNNNNNNNNNNNNNNNNNNNNNNNNNNNNNNNNNNNNNNNNNNNNNNNNNNNNNNNNNNNNNNNNNNNNNNNNNNNNNNNNNNNNNNNNAAAAAAAUAAGGUCAAGGAAGAAAGUCUAACUUAAAAAUUAUCAAAAGUGAGAAAUAUUUGAACCAACGUGUUAAAUCGAAUGUAUCUUUAUAUGAUUUUGAAAAACAAAAUUUUAGUUUGUGCUUAUGUAGGAACAAUCAUGAAGUUGUUAUUAUUCACAUUAUUAGGGUAUAUGAGAGAACAUCAAAUAGAUAAUCUUAUAAUUUGUUGUCAAAUCAAAGCUCGAUAUGAAUUUUUUUUAAAAUGAAUUGAUUUUUUUAUCAACAUGUAUGAAGAUAUACGUAUCAAUAUAUGCUUAUCUAAUUAUGUAUAAUAUUUUCGUUGUUUCCGCCUAAUGAGGAGAUUGAGCUUAUUUUACGUUGGAUAAAAAGAUUGGAUGACAACAACUUAUUUCACCAAAUAAAUGCAAGCUAUAGAAUUUUUUUUGUAUUUAUUUUGAUGUGGAUUUUAUAGGAUUUGAAAAUUGAAUGUUGAAGUUAUUAUACAAAAGUUUGUAUUAUUUUUAUUUGACAUAUUUUGAAUUUGUGAAGCUUAUUAUUACAAAUUUGUUUAAUAUAAUUUGAUUUGCUUUAAAUGUGUUAUUUAGUAAAAUUAUUCAUUAUUUUGAAGGCUUGAUGUAAAUCAAAUUCCACAUUUAUUAUUAAAAUAAUAAUAAUAAUUUUGUAAGACUCCACAAAUAUCUCUCUCUCUCUCUCUCUCUCUAUAUAUAUAUAUAUAUAUAUAUAAAGCUGAAUCUAAGCAAUUCUACGUGGCACCUCUCUAUGGUCACCAUUCUUUUUUUUUCUCUCAAUUUUUGGAAUUUUUUUUAUUCAUUUCAAUAAUCUAUUAAAUACCUCUAAUGCAUUAUUAACCUACAAUUAAAGAGGAUAAUGAAAAGUUUAAACAUAAAGAAUAUCUUUAUUGUUGCAAUAGAGAAUGAAGAGUUGUAACGGAUGUCAAGAACUUAUUGCAAUCAACCAAUUUAAAAUCUAUAUAUAAAAAAAAGAAGGUAAAAUAGCACAUAAUCUGAACCAUGUAAUCUGAAGGUAAAUUGAAUUUUUAAAAGCUUCAUUGUCUCAGAUAAAUCAAAUUUUUGAUUUGUUUUUAUAUAAAAUUAGGCAGGAAAUCUAUGUAUAUAUAUAAUAAUAAUAAUAAUAAUAAUAAUAAUAAUAAAGCUAAAUAUAAUCUAGGUGAUGUGACACCUCUCAAUGGCCACCAUUCACAUUUAUUAUUUUUUUCUCAUUUUUUGAAUUUUCUUAUUUAUUCCAUAUUUAUAUGCUAUAUUAAAAGGUUAAAAAUAACUUUAAAAUUAUAUUUUCUUAAUUACACCUCCCUCAUUUACUCUUCUUUAUUUUUCAUAAUUUUUUUCUAGUUUAUGAAAUCCAAAAGCCUAUCAUUAAUCCUCUAAUUAAUAACUCCACCUCAUUGGUUACUCUACAGAAUAAAAGAAUUUUUUUUAUCUUCCUUGGGAUUAAUUCUCAUGACUUCACCUAUCACUAUAUAAGUAUCAGAAAUACAUGCCACAUUUGACAAAAAUUGCUAUCAUCUCAAUGAUUUAGGGUGUUAUGGUUAAAUAUUUAUGUUUUAAUAAAAAAAAAUUAUGUAUAAAUUUUCAUAUUUUACAUGAAAUAAUUAGUUUCUAACACAUGGAGUCCAACUUCUUAUUUUACAGGUAAAUGUUUAAAGAAACAUGUUAGAGGAGCGCAAGAUGGAUCAAGAUUCGAGACUAAGGAAAGGAGCGCUUCUUAUCAAUAUUAGAGAAGUGAUGCACCUUUUUUUUAAAUCAAUUUUAUUUAUUUAUUGUAUAUUAUUUUCUCCAAUUCUAUUUGCUUAUUAUGGUACAAAAAUAAAUAUGUCAAUUAGUAUUUCAUCCUCCCAUUUCUUAUAUGUAAAGGAGAAACAUAGAUGAGGUGUCUCUCUUUUUAGGCAUUUUUUCUUAUUUAAUCAAUUAUUUUAUUGUAAAGGUAAUUACUUAAUUUAUUGUACACAAAUAUUUUAUUUGUAGAGGAACAAUUAUAACAAAAACUCUCCAUAUGUCUAUUUACAAGGACUAAAAAAUAUCUAUAAUUCACAUAUCUCUAAUUUUCACACUUAAAAAUUUUAAUAUUUUUUUUACCUUCUCCGAAUUACAAAAUGACAAUGAUCUUAAUAUUUUAAAUUCAUCUCUCUUAUUAUUUAAUUUACAUACAAUCAAUCUAUAUAUCUAUAUGUAUAAUCUAUAUCUAUAUAUUAGAAUAUAAAAAUUAUCUCUUAAUUAUAUAUUUUUUCUAUUUAUGUAUUUUAAUUAUUGUACAAAAAUGAAUAUGUCAAUUACUACUCCUUCAUUUAUUCAUAUUCUUUAAUAUAAAAACUUAAUAAUCUUUAAUUUCAUUACUCCUAUAUAAUGUGUUAUGUUUAUAAAAAAAACACUCCUUUAAUUUUCUUAAUUUAUGUUACAUAUGCUAUGUUAGAAAAUUAAUUUUCUUUAACUCAUCUCUAAUUUUCACACUUAAAAAUUUUAAUAUUUUUUUUACCUUCUCCGAAUUACAAAAUGACAAUGAUCCCAUUCAAGCUAAUUGUUGCUCUUAAAUAACCUAUAAAUGGGUUUUUUAAAAUUUCAGUUUUUUUUAAUCUUUGGUUAUCUAUCAUAACUAUCUAUUUUAAAGACCUUUCUUAACCAUUAUUGUCAUAAUUACAUACUUAUAGUGACUAUGUAUAGCACCAAAAUGAUGUCUUUCACUAUUUUUUAUCCCCAUGUGAUGAGUAACAGAUUUUAUGUAUAACACCAAUAUUCUUCUUAUUGCAUUAUCAUAAUUCAUAUUGUUUAAAAUUUAAUUGUAGGUUUGAUUUAGUUUUCAAAAUUAAAGAUAGACUUGUACGUUUGUAUUAUCUUUUCGAACAAAAAAUAAAGAGCAAAAUAAACUUUUUGAUUAUUUAUAAUAUUGAGGUACUAGAUAAACCACCUCUCUAUGGCCACCAUUCUUACUUAUUUUUUUUCUCAAUUUUUUGAAUUUUUUUUAUUCAUUUCAAUAAUCUAUUAAAUACCUCUAAUGCAUCAUUAACCUAUAAUUAAAGAGGAUAAUGAAAAGUUUUAAUAGAGAAUGAUGAGUUGUAACGGUUGUCAAGAACUUAUUGCAAUCAACCAAUUAAAAAUCUAUGUAAAAAAAUAGGGAGAAUAGCACAUAAUCUGAACCAUGUAAUCUGAAGAUAAAUUGACAAAAUGGAAGAAUCUUUGUAUGAGAAGAUGUACUACUCAAGGUAAAUUGAAAUUUUAAAAGCUUCAUUGUCUUAGAUAAAUCGAAUUUUUGAUUUGUUUGUAUAUAAAAUUAGGCAGGAAAUCUAUAUGUCUAUAUAUAUAAUAAAACUAAAUAUAAUCUAGGAGAUGUGACACCUUCAAUGGCCAUCAUUCACAUUUAUUUAUUUUUCUCAUUUUUUUGAAUUUUCUUAUUUAUUCUCUAUUUAUAUGCUAUAUUAAAAGGUUAAAAAUAACUUUAAAAUUAUAUUUUCUUAAUUACACCUCCCUCAUUUACUCUUCUUUAUUUUUCAUAAUUUUUUUCAGUUUAUGAAAUCCAAAAGCCUAUCAUUAAUCCUCUAAUUAAUAACUCAACCUAAAUGGUUACUCUACAAAAUAAAAGGAUUUUUUUUAUCUUCCUUGGGAUUAAUUCUCAUGACUUCACCUAUCACUAUAUAAGUAUCAGAAAUACAUGCCACAUUUUGACAAAAAUUGCUAUCAUCUCAAUGAUUUAGGGUUUUAUGGUUAAAUAUUUAUGUUUUAAUAAAAAAAAUAUGUAUAAAUUUUCAUAUUUUACACGGACUAAUUAGUUUCUAACAUAAGGAGUCCAACUUCUUAUUUUACAUGUAAAUGUUUAAAGGAGCAUGUUAGAGGAGCGCAAGAUGGAUCAAGAUUCGAGACUAAGGAAAGGAGAGCUUCUUAUCAAUAUUAGAGAAGUGAUGCACCUUAUUGUUAAAUUAAUUUUAUUUAUUUAUUUUAUAUUUUUUCUACAAUUCUAUUUGCUUACUAUUGUACAAAAAUAAAUAUGUCAAUUAGUAUUUCAUCCUCCCAUUUCUUAUAUGUAAAGGAGAAACAUAGAGGAGGUGUCUCUCUUUUUAGGCAUUUUUUCUUAUUUAAUCAAUUAUUUUAUUGUAAAAGUAAUUACUUAAUUUAUUGUACACAAAUAUUUAUUAGUAGAGGAACAAUUAUAACAAAAACUCUCCAUAUGUCUAUUUACAAGGACUAAAAUAUAUCUAUAAUUCACAUCUCUCUAAUUUUCACUCUUAAAAUUUUAAUAUUUUUUUACCUUCUCCGAAUUACAAAAUGACAAUGAUCUUAAUAUUUUAAAUUCAUCUCUCUUUAUUAUUUAAUUUACUUACAAUCAAUCUAUAUAUCUAUAUGUAUAAUCUAUAUCUAUUUAUUAGAAUAUAAAACUUAUCUCUUAAUUUUAUAUAUAUAUAUAUAUGUAUAUAUAUAUUUUAUUUAUGUAUUUUAAUUAUUGUACAGAAAUGAAUAUGUCAAUUACUACUCCUUCAUUUAUUCAUAUUCUUUAAUAUAAAAACUUAAUAAUCUUUAUUUUCAUUACUCCUAUAUAAUGUGUUAUGUUCAUAAAAAAAACAGUCCUUUAAUUUUCUUAAUUUAUGUUACAUAUGCUAUGUUAGAAAUUAAUUUUCUUUAACUCUUUUAAUUAUGAGAAAAACUCAAAAGUCCCUUAGUUAAUUAAUAUUUUCCCACGCUAUUGCAUUCAUCCCAUUCAAGCUAAUUGUUGCUCUUAAAUAACCUAUAAAUGGGUUCUUUUAAAAUUUCUAGUUUUUUUUUAAUCUUUGGUUAUCUAUCAUAAUUAUCUAUUUUAAAGACCUUUCUUAAUCAUUAUUGUCAUAAAUACAUACUUAUAGUGAAUAUGUAUAGCACCAAAAUGAUGUCUUUCAUUAUUUUUUAUCCCAAUGUGAUGAGUAACAGAUUUUAUGUAUAACACCAAUAUUCUUCUUAUUGCGUUAUCGUAAUUCAUAUUGUUUAAAAUUUAAUUGUAGGUUUGAUUUAGUUUUCAAAAUUAAAGAUAGACUUGUACGUCUGUAUUAUCUUUUCGAACAAAAAAUAAAGAGCAAAAUAAACUUUUUGAUUAUUUAUAAUAUUGAGGUAUUAGAUAAAUCACCUCUCUAUGGCCACCAUUCUUUUUUUUUUCCUCAAUUUUUUGAAUUUUUUUAUUCAUUUCAAUAAUCUAUUAAAUACCUCUAAUGCAUCAUUAACCUACAAUUAAAGAGGAUAAUGAAAAAUUUUAACAUAAAAAAUAUCUUUAUUGUUGCAAUAGAGAAUGAAGAGUUGUAACGGUUGUCAAGAACUUAUUGCAAUCAACCAAUUAAAAAUCUAUAUAAAAAAAAUUAGGGAGAAUAGCACAUAAUCUGAACCAUGUAAUCUGAAGGUAAAUUGACAAAAUAGAAGAAUCUUUGCAAGAGAAGAUGUACUACUCAAGGUAAAUUGAAUUUUUAAAAGCUUCGUUGUCUCAGAUAAAUUGAAUUUUUGAUUUGUUUGUACAUAAAAUUAGGCAGGAAAUCUAUAUAUCUAUAUAUAUAAAAAAGCUAAAUAUAAUCUAGGUGAUGUGACACCUCUCAAUGGCCACGAUUCACAUUUAUUUAUUUUUUCUCAUUUUUUUGAAUUUGCUUAUUUAUUCUCUAUUUAUAUGCUGUAUUAAAAGGUUAAAAAUAACUUUAAAAUUAUAUUUUCUUAAUUACACCUCCCUCAUUUACUCUUCUAUAUUUUCAUAAUUUUUUUCAGUUUAUGAAAUCCAAAGCCAAUCACUAAUCCUCUAAUUAAUAACUCCACCUAAAUGAUUACUCUACAAAAUAAAAGGAUUUUUUUUUAUCUUCCUUGGGAUUAAUUCUCAUCACUUCACCUAUCACUAUACAAGUAUCAGAAAUACAUGCCACAUUUGACAAAAAUGCUAUCAUCUCAAUGAUUUAGGGUGUUAUGGUUAAAUAUUUAUGUUUUAAUAAAAAAAAUAUGUAUAAAUUUUCAUAUUUUACAUGGACUAAUUAGUUUCUAACAUAUAGAGUCCAACUUCUUAUUUUACAUGUAAAUGUUUAAAUGAGCAUGUUAGAGGAGCGCAAGAUGGAUCAAGAUUCGAGACUAAGGAAAGGAGAGCUUCUUAUCAAUAUUAGAGAAGUGAUGCACAUUUUUUUAAAAUCAAUUUUAUUUAUUUAUUUUAUAUUUUUUUCUACAAUUUUAUUUGCUUAUUAUUGUACAAAAAUAAAUAUGUCAGUUAGUAUUUCACCCUCCCAUUUCUUAUAUGUAAAGGAGAAACAUAGAGGAGGUGUCUCUCUUUUUAGGCAUUUUUUCUUAUUUAAUCAAUAUUUUAUUGUAAAGGUAAUUACUUAAUUUAUUGUACACAAAUAUUUUAUUAGUAGAGGAACAAUUAGAACAAAAACUCUCCAUAUGUCUAUUUACAAGGACUAAAAAAUAUCUACAAUUCACAUCUCUCUAAUUUUCACUCUUAAAAAUUUUAAUAUUUUUUUACCUUCUCUGAAUUACAAAAUGACAAUGAUCUUAAUAUUUUAAAUUCAUCUCCUAAUAUUAAAACUUAAUAAUCUUUAUUUUCAUUACUUCUAUAUAAUGUGUUAUGUUUAUAUAAAAAAAAACACUCCUUUAAUUUUCUUAAUUUAUGUUACAUAUGCUAUGUUAGAAAAUUAAUUUUCUUUAACUCUUUUAAUUAUGAGAAAAACUCAAAAGUCCCUUAGUUAAUUAAUAUUUUCCCACGCUAUUCCGUUCAUCCCAUUCAAGCUAAUUGUUGCUCUUAAAUAACCUAUAAAUGGGUUCUUUAAAAUUUCAGUUUUUUUAAAAUCUUUGGUUAUCUAUCAUAAUUAUCUAUUUUAAGACCUUUCUUAACCAUUAUUGUCAUAAUUACAUACUUAUAGUGAAUAUGUAUAGCACCAAAAUGAUGUCUUUCACAUUUUUUAUCCCAAUGUGAUGAGUAACAUAUUUUAUGUAUAACACCAAUAUUCUUCUUAUUGCAUUAUCAUAAUUCAUAUUGUUUAAAAUUUAAUUGUAGGUUUGAUUUAGUUUUCAAAAUUAAAGAUAGACUUGUACGUUUGUAUUACCUUUUCGAACAAAAAAUAAAGAGCAAAAUAAACUUUUUUAUUAUUUAUAAUAUUGAGGUAUUAGAUAAAGAAUAAACAAGAAUGAGGAGUAUGAGAAGAGAACUUCGAAGGUCAGAUUGGGGAGAUUUUUUACUAUCACGCGAAGAAGUUCACUAGUAUAUAUAUAAAGUUGAAUCUAAGCAAUCCUAUGUGGCACCUCUCUAUGACCACCAUUCUUAUUUAUUUUUUUUCUCAAUUUUUUGAAUUUUUUUUUAUUCAUUUCAAUAAUCUAUUAAAUACCUCUAAUGCAUUAUUAACCUACAAUUAAAGAAGAUAAUAAAAAGUUUUAACAUAAAGAAUAUCUUUAUUGUUGCAAUAGAGAAUGAAGAGUUGUAACGGUUGUCAAGAACUUAUUGCAAUCAACCAAUUAAAAAUCUAUAUAAAAAAAACAGGUAGCAUAGCACAUAAUCUGAACCAUGUAAUCUGAAGGUAAAUUGACAAAAUGGAAGAAUCUUUGCAAGAGAAGAUGUACUACUCAAGGUAAAUUGAAUUUUUAAAAGCUUCACUGUCUUAGAUAAAUCGAAUUUUUAAUUUGUUUGUAUAUAAAAUUAGGCAGGAAAUCACAUGAGCGAAAGGUAAAUUAACAAAAUGGAAGAAUUAUUGCAAGAGAAGAUUUCUAACUCCAGGUAAAUUAAAAUUUUGAAAAGAUUUAUUACCUCAAAUAAAUAAAAUUUUUGUUUUGUUUAUACAAAUAACAUUAGGCAGAAGAGCACAUAAUGCACAGGUAAAUUAACAAAAUGGAAGAAUCAUUACAAGAGAAGAUUUACUACUUCAGGUAAAUUCAUUUUGCCUUCUUUUAUAAGUAAAAAUUAUGCAAGAGAUAAAAUAGAGAACUCAUAGCAAAAGAAGGUUUUACUAUCUUAGAUAAAUCGAUUUUUUUGAUUUGUUUGUAUAAAUGAAUUCAUUAGAAUAUACCUGUGUCGAUUUGAUCAUUUUAUGCUAGCAAGAAUUAUUAUAGACAAAUCUAGCAAAACAAGAACGAAAUUCUAUUCAGGAAUUCAAUAUACCGAAGAUCUAAAGACAUCAAAAUAUCCUCUAACAUUCAAUUUGUGAACCGUGAAAAUGAUGCCCACCAUGAAGUAUUAUUUCUCUCAUUCUAAUCUUUUUUAUUUACAAAUAAUGAGUAUAGAGAGUACUGAAAUGUUAUGAAAAGGGAAAAUAAAUUUUUUAUUCUCUUUUAUGACAGUAAAAAAUAUAGAUAAAAGCAAGAAGAUAGUAAUAAAUUGAGUAAAAAGUAAAAGGAAAGUAAAAAAUUAAAAGAACUACCAUAAAAAGAAAACAUGGAAAAGGAAAAAGAAGUUAAAAGAGUUACUUUUUAUUUUACUUUAUACGUAGUCACUUCUCUCUCUUUCUACUUUUUUUAUUUAACAUUUGAAAUAUGAAAUUAUAAAAAUAUAUCAAUUAAACUUAAUAUAUAUAACUACUUAAAAAGUAAUAAGAUUAUAGUUAUAGUAUUUUUUGAAUUUUUUUAACAUAGUACAUAAAUAACAAAAAAAUAUAUGAAGUCAAGAAUAGGAGAAAAAAACUAAUUAUAAUAUUUAGUCAAAGAUAUUUUUUGGCAAAUUUUAUAGAUCAAAAGGAAAAAAAUAAGGAAAGAAUAAAAUUUUCUUGAAUAAUAAUAAAUUAUGAUAAUAAGGAAGAGAGAUGGAUGAGGUUAUAUUUCUUUAAAAAACUUGGACGUCUCAAGUUCGAAACCCCUUGCCAACGAAAGCAAGGGGUUUGCCUUUUGGGUCAAGCUCGUUGCACCGGGCUUGCCUAGUGCGGGUUACCUCUCCUCUGUGGUUUGCGAGCUAUUGCAUAUGAGGCGGGGGUUUUUACCUUGUGCGCACCCAAAGGGUAGUGACUGCGGGUUUCCUUUGUCAUAAAAAAAAAAAUAGAAGAUAGAAAGAGGAAUUUAAGAAAAAAAUAAUAAAUAGUAGUAAUAUGAGGAGAGAGAUAAAUAAGGUAUUUGUUUUUUUAAAAAAAAAUUAAACUGAUUUUAUAGAUCAAAAGAAGAAAUUUUUUGUGAAUAAUAAUAAUAAAUCAUGACAAUAAGGAUAUGUUUAAGGAGGAGAGAUAAUAAGAUUUUUCAUUUAAAAAAACUACUAAAAAACAUUAAAAAAAUAAUUAAAAAAAAUAAUUGUAGUAAUGAUAAGGAGGUAUGGAAGGCAAUAAAUCGUAGUAAUGAUGAGAAGAGAGAAAAAUAAGGUAAAUAUAUUUAUCAUAAUAUAAAGGUGAGUACCAUAAUUAUGUUAAAAAAAUAUUAUAUUAAAUAAGACACUAUUUUAUAAAUGGAUGUUGACAAAAACUCAAAAAAUUGUGCAAUAAUUUUCUAUUUUUUCUUCUAAUUUUCAAUGAAUAAGGUUGUAGAAAAUUUCUCUUUAUUGAAUUUAAGAAUAAAUAAUUAUCACAUUAGCCUUUUAAUUUUUUAUGUUUUCGAUACGUACUUAUCAUAUUCAUAUUUUAGUUUUACUUGAAUAAUAAAAUAAAGGCUAUUGAAUGGUGAUCGACUUGUGUGUAUGGGUGUUGAUAGGAGCUCAAAAUAUUUUUUCAUUGAUUUCGUAUUUUUCCUUCUAAUUUUUAAUGAUUAAGGUUGUAGAAAAUUUCUCUUUAUUUUACACUUUAUAUGAAUCUUAUUGUUAGUAAGUGAUUCACAACUUCGUUCUUCAUUUUGAUGAACUUAUACCAAACAUCUCUAUGAUGAAUUUUUGAAGAAUAUAUCUAUGAUCUUUAUAAGGUCAUACUGUGACACUAUUAAGUAUAUGAUUGAUGAAAAAGCUGAAUAAUUUUUUUUUAAAAGGAGGAAAAAACUAUACUAAAAAAAAAAAAGAAUGAGAAAAUGAAAAUGAACAUUGAACAUCUCCAUAGAUGAUUGAUAUUUGGAAAAAUCACCCCAUAUACACAUUUAAGAGUCAAUAUUACAGGUUUUAAAUCUACUUUUAAAAAAUUCUUGCUUAUAACAGUUUAAUUACGGGUUAUAACAUAUCACUAAUUAUUUAUAAAUUAAUUAAAUUUUACUUUAUUAAAUAAGUAUUUUUUUAUAAUUUUAUAUUACUAUUAAAUUAUUUAAAUAAAGAAUACCCCAUAAUUAUCUCUUACACAAUUAUAUGGAUUUUACAUUGAUUACACUUCCUUAUUUAAUGUUAUACUCAUAACCUCCCAUUAGUCAAUCCCACCACCCUUUCCCCACACAUAUCCAACUAUACACGCUAUCACCCCACUUUCACCUUCUUCUCUCCCAUUUUUCUCACCAGCCAACUACACCAACAUUCAAUCUUUGAAACGCCUGAAAAGAGUCCCAGAUUGGGUGAAGGAACAUCUAAUGAUGAUGUUCAUGUUUCAAAUUUUGAUAUAUUAACUCAAACAACCCCCCCCCCCCUCUCCUCCGCCUAAAAUUGUUGAAAUUAACUAGUUUUAGGUUGUCUAAUUCGGUUGAAAUCUCCCUACAAAACUAUAUAUAAUAUGAUAAUAUGCACUGAACCAAUAUUUUUUUGUAUCAAUUUAUGCUCCGACACCUUUUGAAUUGCAUAUUUUCCUGUUCCAUCAUAAAUUGAUUAUAAUAACAACAAAAUUAUACACACUCGUCAUUAUUUUUUCAUACAAAUAUCAUUCAGACAGUACACUACAAAACAAAUUUCAUACAAAAAACAAUAUUUCACAUUUCAUACUCACUUAAUACACAUUUCAUACAACAAUCAUCAUUCAUACCAAUUUUAUACAUUUCUCAUACCAAAUAAUUCAUUACUCUCACACAAAUUUAUACACAAAUGACAAAACAUAUAUAAUCAAUAAAAUUUCAAAUUUCAUACCAAAUUAAAACACUUUUCAUACAUUUCUUCAAAAAUCUAAAUAACUUUUUUACACAUUAGUGAACACACCAAUUUCAUUACAUUUAUACUACCAAAUUCAUUCAACAUUUUACAUUUAAUUUAUAUUUUCGAAAAAAGAAAACAGUAAUCAAUAUUACAAUUUUACUAUACCUACUUAAUCUACAACGAUAAAACUAUUUAUAUUUUAUACAUUUAUACUCAAAUCUUUCAUAUAUUGCGCCUAUUUCUCACGAAAUCAUGGUUUUGAAAAUAUACAAAUUAAUAAAAAAGAAAAGAAAAAAGAAACCUACCAAAAUGUAUUAUGAACAAAAUUAACAAAAACGUAUUAUGAACAAAAAUUAACAAAAACGAAUUUUGACCAAUUACUAAACAAUAAUAAAUACUAACCUGAAGGAUCCCAUCUUCCACCGUGUUUAAUUAAUAUUGAUACGUAGUUGUCCAUCACAACAAAAUCAAGAUUUUUCAAAGAAAAAAAACUUCAAUUACUCGACAGUGAGAAGAUUUUUGGCAGAAAAUUGAAGAGAGAGAAACGUUGAAUAAAAAAAGAGAGGAUAAAAUCCAAAUUUUUAAUUAAGUUUAACUAAUUUGAGUGAAUUAAGGAAACUAAAUAUUCUUAAUAAGUUUGAAUUCCUUAAUUCGUGACUAAUUAGUAAUUAUCUACACUCAAUUCAAAUUAAAUUAACACCCUUAUUUCUGUUUUUUACCUUUUUGCCUUCAAAAAUGUUUUUUUUAAUCUUUUUUUUUAAAAAAAACAAAUGUUUUCAAUUAUUAAAAAUAACUUCUUUUUUUAAUAAAUUGUUAGAACCUGAAAUUUUUAAUGUUACAACUUGAAAGUUUAAAUCUACUGCUAUAACUUGAAAAUAUUAAUAUAAUAUAUGUCAUUUAUGAAAUUUUUAACUUGAUAUUUAUAGAUUGGGUAAACCAUAAGAAUAGUUAGAAAGAAGUUGAAGAGACAUGUUAUUUAAGUAGAAAAGAUAAUAUAUGGAGGGUUUGAAGAACAUCUCUAUAAUGAAUCUUUGAAAAAUAUAUCUAUGAUCUUUAUAAGGUCAUAUCAUGACAUUAUUAAGUAUAUGAUUGAUGAUUUGAUUAUGAUUAAUCAAAUUGAGUUCCAAUUGCAAUACCCCAAAUGACAAGCUGUUCCUCACUUUCACAUGCAAUCCAAAGUGGCCCGAAAUAAAUGAAAUGCUUCGCUUAAUAGGCCAAUCUGGCGAUGAUAACAGGGUGGACAAAGCGAAUGAUCCAGUUGGCGGGAGAAAAAACAAUUUCAUCUAUAUCUGGCACUGCUUUACUUGGCUUAUCUAGUAGACUGUUUUUAGCUUUCACGUGUCAAGCUCCUAUGUUUUCGAAUAGUAUAACCGAUUAUAUGAUGCUCUUUUCGCUCUUGAAGUAAGAAAAAUAUGUGCUUUACCCCUAGAUGUCCAAUCAACUGCUGCGCCUCAACGCAUUUCGGGGAGAACCAGCUAGCUCUGGGUGCGAGUGGCAUUGCAGCCCUAACCACAACUCACCCGUUGAUUCUUCAACAUCAGUCGAUCGGACCUCCACUUAGUUUCACGGAAUUGAGUUUCUUGUCUGGUGGAUCUGCUCUAUAGUUAGGGGGAAAUACAUACCAAAAGGUUCAAAGAAGGAAGGCGCAUAAGAGUAUAUAACCAACCUACCCUUCUGUAUAACCUAUUCACAUUAGUGAAGCGGUUGGAUGCAUAAGGGAAGUACACGUUUGUGAGACCUUAGUUUGAACUUUGACUCUUAUCUGUAAGUAAGGAGCUGAAAACAAGUCCUUAGAAGGGCCCUCAUUCUCCAUGCAAGCUAGCUCUUACUUGUGUUUAGUGAGGAGGCUACCUAACAAACAGGUGACUGCCCAUAAGCAGAGUGUUCCAAAUCAAGUUAUUCCAACUAAUGCAAGAUCUGAAAAAGCAACAGCCUUUUGGAAAAAUAAUCGCAUGUAAGUUCAAACUUAAACAUACUAACAAAAUGCAUCAGUUAUUAAUUCAAGCGUUUACAUUUUAGUAAAAAAAAUCAAAAUGUAGCUGCAAUGAUAGGAAAUCAACUUUUGAAAGAGCAAUACUUACUCCUAAAAAUGAAAUGGUACAUGAAUUGAAUGAUAUAGCUCAAAAUUAUCUUAGGCACUGUCAUCAUUACCUAAAUCAGUACACAAGAAAAUACAUGUGUAGAAAUAAUUAAAAAUACUAUCAUAAUAUACUUUUCAUAAAUUACGUUUCUCAUGUUGAAAACAAAUGAGAAUGUUGUUUAUAUGGAAAUCGUUGUUACAUUUAUUGCUAUUUCAAGUCCAUAAAAACUAGGACUGAAAGCUCCAUUUUACUUUAUUUUUGUUUUACUUUCCUUCUCUCCCUUCAUUUAGUCAUUUUCCUUACUCAUUUAAAUAUAUAUUUUUUCUUCUGUAACUCCUUUCACAUGGCUUUUUUAAUAAUUAUUCUUCAUCUUUCAUUUGUUUACAUUUUUAUUUGUAAUGUAAAGAUUUUAUAAAAAUAUGCUAACAUAAUUAUUUUUUUUCCCAGAUUCCAUAGGUAGAGAUUUAUGAUUUUGAAUUUGGACCUUUCAAAAAAAGCAGAUGAUACUAUAGAAAAUGGUAAGAUGGAUAUGUUCCAUAUUUAAAUUGCAUAAAUAUGUGUAUUUGAUUACAUAAAUCAAUAUAUUUUCUAACUAUGUAUCCAAAUAUUUUUCAUGAUACGCAGAGGCGGAUCUAGGAUUUGGAAGUCGUGGGUGCCACAUCGUUCAAGUAAGAUAAAAUGGCCGGUUGCUUUAAUUUUGGGUUACAAUUCGGGUUAUUAAUCUUUUUUUCAUUUUUAUAAACAAAUCGAUUAAACAUGCAUGUUAGUAAUAUUUUAUUUUAGAUAUUUCGAGAUUCGAGAUAAUAUACAAUUCAAUUUUUACUUCCUUUUAGGUAUUAGAGGCCUAAUCCACUAAAAUUUGAAGAAAAAAGAGAUUUUUCACACUGAAAUUUGAGCUUGUAUAAACUAUCUAAUAGUAUUAACUUGAUAUAUACAUAUUCUACUGACUUUAUGUGUUGUUGCAUAUAUAUAUAUAUAUAUAGUAGAGAAAGAAUUAAAAUUAUAGUUUCAGCAUUACUUAGCAAGAACGUCGGUGAAGAUCGAAAGAACCUUUAAAAUAAAAAAAACUCUAAUAAUAAUAUUCAUCAAUUUUAAAACUUGUAUUUUUAAAAAAUUACUAUUUAAAUAUAUUCUUAAUAAUAUUUAUGUGAGGUUCAUAAUUCAGUACUCAUUAAUUGAUAAAGAAUAAAGGAGUAACACGAGAUUAAUAAUUAAUGAAAGAGAAAGUUAAAAAAACUAAAAAAUAAUUAUGAAAAGGAGUCAAUUUGAAUUAUUAAAGAAUAGUAAAUAAAUAAGAAUGAAUGGAAGGAAAAAAAAUUAAUGCCUUUCACACAUUAAUGAAAAUGACAAAAAGAAAGAAAAGAAAAGGAAAGAAAAAGCCUCACCUGCGACAAGCCAAAAGAUUAGUGCUUGCAGUGAGGAUCGAACCUGCGUGGGAACUGUGGCCGUUUGUCUCCUUUGCCAAUUGAGCCAUUCACCAUUUCAGACAGUGGGUGGCAAAAUGAAUAUAUAUUGAAUUGUUAUACAUAUAUACAUAUAUACAAAGUUUUUUCCGAGAUCACUGGGUGCUGUGGCACCCCCACCCGUCCACGUAGAUCCGCCCCUGAUGAUAUGUAUCCAGAAUUCAUUGUAAAAGGUAUGAUAUUUUUAUCUUCUCUUGUAUAAUAUGUGACGUCUCUUUAUGACCUUUAUUUGUCUUUAUCUUUCUUUUUUUAAUUUAAACUAAUUAUUUUACUGUAAAAGUGAAAUAUUUAAUUUAUUACAAAUCUAUAUAUAAUUAUAAAGUUAAAUAUAAAAACAGCAACAUAAAAAAGUAGAUGAUACUAUAGAAAAAGGUAAGAUGGAGGUGUUCCAUAUUUAAAUUGCAUAAAUAUGUGUAUUAAUAACAUGAAAAACAUAUUUUCUAAAUAUGUAUCCAGAAUUAAUUGUAAAAGGUAUGAUUUCUUUGUAUUUUCUUGUAUAAUAUGUGACAUUUCUCUAUGACCUUUAUUUGUAUUUAUAAUUUUUUUUAUUUAGACGAAUUAUAUUACUGUAAAAGUGAAAUAUUUAAUUUAUUACAAAUCUAUAUAUAAUAAUAAAUUUGAAUAUAAAACGGUGACGUGACCCUCUGUAAGAGUUUCAAUUCAAUUAAUCUUUUUUGGCCUUUAUUCUAAUUUUAAAUACCAAAAAAUUCACCUAAAAAAUGAAAGACCAUUAAAAGUAAUCAUAUUUAUUUAUGCUUUCAUCAAUAGUUAUAUUUAUUUUAUUUUAUUAUUAAAGCUAUUAUUCUCUUUUUCUAUAAUAUUUCUCAGAUUCUCAUCAAUUAUUACAAUUUUUUCCAUUUGAUUUAAAAAGAAUUCCAACAAUUCACGAUAUUUAAAUUUUAUGAUUUUUAUUUAUUUAUUUUAUAGUUUUUUCCUUUCUUUGCUUUUUUUUUUUACUUUUCUUUUUAUUUAUUCGAUUCAAAAAAUUUAUAUCUUUAUAUAAUAUAAAUGUAUUUCUUUUAUCUACUUUAUUUUUCUUUUUUUAUUUUUCUUUUAAUUUUUAAGUUUUACCUCCAUAACGUAAAUCUAUUAAACUUCAAUUUUUGAUAAUAUCAUUAAUUCUAUGACUUUUAAGUUUUCAUAUUCAAAACCUCCAACUAUUAAAUUAUAAAAUUUAAUAUGAUAUCUCUCCAUUUUUAAUGACAAAAUAAAUUCAGAAGUUUUUUGUUUCAUGAAAUUUAAACUCAAGAUUAUUCUUUAUAUUUCAUUGUUCUUUGUAGUAUUAUUAUAUUAUCAAAUUCAUGCUUUAACUUGACACGAUGAAAAUGACUCUUGAAUGUUGAUUAGUUUGUUAAAGAGGAUGUCGGACAAGAGCUAAAAAAAAUGGCCAUUGAUUUUGUAUUUUUAUUUUUAUCUAUUGUCUUAUGAUUAGGUUCCAAGGAAGAUGUGUAUAUUUUUAUUUUCUCCAUGUAACUUUCUUUUUUUUGGGUGCAAUUUUUGUGGACUAUUAAGCCCUCUUAUUUAUGAAUAAUUUUGACCACUCGGCCACUCUCCCCUUCCCGGGCCGAGGCCCCCCUCAAUGGGUUCUAAUUCUAAGAAGGGGGGUUCAAACUGUAGCCGAGAGUGAGCCGGAUUGAGAAAUGAAAGUGAAAGAGUAAGCAAAAAAAAUGUGAGUGCUCCUGCACUAUACAGACGGCUUUUUGGCACAAACAAAAUUACAAAGCCCAUGUAACUUCUUUAGUUUGAAUUUUUAUAACCUUUUAUUAUUGCAAGUAUGUAUUUUUGUUUAGAUGCAAAUAAAUUAUUGUAACUUUGUUUGUAAUAAUACUAACUACUAGCAAAGGUUAAAAAUACUAUUGCACAAAGAAUUAUUUAUAUUUUUUCUUUAAAGAUUCUUCAUUUUUGUUUAUAUAAGUUCAUAAUUUUUUAUUUCACAAAACCCCUACUUGAGAUUAUCUUUUUUAUUUCAUAUUUGAAAUAACGUUUUCCUUAAUUUUUCUUAAAGUCUUUCUCACAUAACUACUAACAGAGGCGGAUUCAGGAUUUAGAGUCUCUGGGUGCUAAAUAGACUCAUCGACUAAAUUAACUUUAUGUUUGAUUCGAAUUACUCGUCUUUUCGAUUUAUAUGACAAAUCAAUCAAUAAAAUAGAAAUAAACAUAUAUAAAUUUUUUAAAAAGUGUUUCUAGGUUGUUUACGAAAAAUUUAUGGUGGUUCAUAAUGUUCAUUUGUCAAAAAUUAAAUAAAGAUAAAUAUAUUAAAUUUUAAUUUUGAUUUAAAGUAAAAUAAUUACGUAUUUAAAAAAGAGUUAAACUAUGAUAAAUUAAGAUAUCUGUUUUUAACCUCAUACAAAAUCAAUUGUAUUAUUUUUAGGAUAAACAUAAAUAGUUAUUUAAAAUUACUUGUCAAUCAACAAAAUACAAAUAUAAUUAACUAAUUUUUGUUUUUUCUAUUUUUACUUCUCUCCAUUAAUUUAUAGGUUAUUUUUGUUCUCGAAAUUCAAGCUAUAAGGUGUAUUUUUUUUUUUCCUUUUUUAAAAUUAUAUAAACAUGAUAAGAAAUGCAACUAAUAAUGUUUUUGGUUGAAUUGCAACUUAGCAAGAAGGUAAUCUUUAUGAACAUUAUAAGUUGCAAUUCUUAUCAUAUUAAUGUAAUAAUAAUAAAUAUUUUAAAAUAUUAAUUAAAUUUCACAUAGCUUGAAUUCCAAGAAUAAAAAAUAUCAUAUAAAUUGAGAGAGUGUGUAUAUAUGUAGGAGUUUAUGGAUGAUUUUCGAUUUUGGGUUACUUGAAAAUAUAGUACCAAAACUUAUAUAAUUAUUGGUUAAAAUUACUGAUGAUCUUUCUGUUAUAUUUUCUUGUUGGAAUUCUUUGAUGCAUUUAAGUGUUUAUAAAAUUAUUAAGAAGAGGAAAAAUAACAAUUUUAUACCCCUUUCUAUUAGUUAUUAACUUUUUCUUUUACUUCUUUAAGAAAUUAUAUACAAAAAUGAUAGUUUACUAUUUUAAUCUUUCAGAUAAACAUUUUUGCAAUUUUUCACAAAUUUUGUUUACACUUUCGAGAAAAAUUACUUGUUAGGAUAAUGAAAAUAAAAAAAAAUUGUUGAUUAAUUUUGUUAAUUGAUAAAUAAUUUUUAAUAACUAUUUUUAGUAAAAUGUAAAUAAUUAAUAUAGGAUAAAAAAAUAAUAUCUAAUGUUAGGAGUAGGAUGAAUUAGGCUAAAUUUCAUAUUUAUAAAAAUUAUUUAAAGAUAAAGGAAGUAGCAAAUAAUUUGAAACAAUGGUAAAAAAGAAAAAAAAAAGGUAAAGGGUUGAAAAGCUAUUAUGAUUUAUGAGAGGAGCCUUGAACGUGUCAGAAUUUUUAAAAAAGAAAAAAUGUAAAUGUGUCAAGCGGAUUUCGAUUCCAUGACCUGAGACCCAAACAUUCAGCCUUUUACCAUGAGCACCACAUAUUACUUUUGUACUGUGGGUGGCAGGUUCAUUAUUUAUAUAUAGAUUGUGUAUGUAUAUAUAUAGCUAUAAAUAUAAAGUUUCCGUCGAAACUCGUGAGUGGCAUGGCACCCUCACCUGCCUAAAUAGAUCCGCCCCUGAGUAUAAGUGAAGAAAAAAUUAAAAACUAUAUAAUUUAAAAAUCAAUUCUCUAUCUUCAAUCUAUGAUGUUUCACAAAAUUACACAUUAUAUAUAUAAUUAAGCUAAUUAAUACAUAUGUACUGUGUGUAAAUUACACAGAAUGAUCAGUUUUGCUUUUUAUUUUGUUUUCUCAACUCUACUUUUUAAAUCUGUAUACGUCAUAAUUUCCGGCAUAUAAAUACAGUUAUUUUCACUUUAUUAUGGAUGGACCAUGUUCUUCUCUUUUUUCUCAUAUAUUUUUUCUUAAUGAGUUUUGUUUAUCUUUAAGCUGGUUAUAUGACAUUAAACAAUUUAUGUUUAACAAAAACUGAAAAGUACUUUUUCUUCCUUCAUGUAAUAGUAUAUUUUAUUUGUUAAAAAUUAGUUCAAUGUGAAUAAUAAGAAUGAAUUUAAAUUUUUAUCUAUUUAAUUGAAUUUGAACUAAAAACUCUUUUAUAUUCAAAUAAUAUGAAAAAAAUCAUUUAUACUUUUGAUAUAAUAUUUAUGACCGCGCGUAGCGUGGCCAAGUUACCUAGUCAAAUUAUAUAUUUAAAUAUUAAUCUCAUAUCAUGACAAUUUUAAAUCCACACAAAUUUAAUUUUUAAAAUAUUGAAAUCAUACUGUGAAGGUUCUAAACUAUCACAAACUGAUACUAAAAAGCCUCCACAAAUUUAAAAGUCAUUUUACGGGGAGCGUCGUGGAGGUUUACUAAAACCGUUGCAAAUAUGCUCGUAGCAAGGAUAAUUGUAGCGGUUUUAGAAACCGCCACAAUUUAAUUUGUGGGAUCCCUAAACCGUCAUAAAUUGACAAAAUAACCCUUAUAAAUUGAGCAUUUUUUUGUAGUGCUGCCCCGAUACAUAUCUCCAGACGUAUGAAUAAGAAAUUACGUCUUAAAAACUAAAAAGAGAAAAAAAUAUUAUCUAUUUUUUUUUGUAUAAGAUACUUUGGCCAAUAUUUUUUUGUUAAAUGAGUAAUAAGGAUAAAAUUAAAGAAUACGAAUUUAAAAAAUAAAAAUUAAAGAACAUCCCGAAACAGGGUAGUCACUGCAAAAACUUUGAAAUUGUCUCUCUCUUCCGUUUGACCCAGAUACUUGUCUAUUUGGUUGAGUAAUUAAACGAAUUUUUAUGGCUGCAAAUAAGAUCCAAUUGCCACUAGAAGUGACUAUAUCUAUAUUUCACGAGUUAUAUUAUUUAUUUAACCAUAUGAUCAUCAGAAGUGAAACUAAUAACCUCUAUAUUUAAGGCAAAUAACAUUUGGAGGUUAAGAGUCCUUCGGGAUGACUUAGUUGGUUUGGAAGGUGGCCUGGGAUCGAUCCCCCCUCAAUGCCUUCUUAGCCGAGUCUGUCGCAUAGGGCUUGUCUAGUGCUGUUUACAUUGCCUGUGUAGUUUGCAGGCUAUUACACAGUGGGGGGUUUACCCAAUGCUCACCACAGAGUGCUCACCCGAAGGGCAGAGGCUGAUUAUUUAAAGUAUCUGAGUAUAAGGUAAUUCCUGAUUGUAGUUAUAGCAUAAAACUGGAAUCAAAGAUGCAUUAUUGUCAUAAUCUGGUGAUGCAAACUGAGAUGAUCAUAAUAUCUUUCUUUCUAUAUAAAAAUCAGAACUUACUAAAAUAAAAAUUGUUGCAUAAACAAAAAAUAAAUCUUCAUAUGAUUCAUGAACGUAAGUGGAAACAAAUACUUAAGGAAGGUAUGUACCAUUUUCACUUAUCUCGGAUAUAUAUAUCAUCCCAAUUUGAUGUUUCGAUCGAAGCAGCAGAAGAGCUGUCAUCAACAUGACUGAAAUCAUUGAUUUGGUCGCGAUUUGGGAUGGUACUGUGUUCUGCAGGAUCAUCUUGAAUGACAGGCUCUUGGAGAUGAAGUGCAUACUCCAGUUUCCACAGCACAUCACCCAUUGAUGGCCUAUCUACACCAUAAUCAGCUAAGCAUUUCACUGCUGUUUCUCCAAACUUCCUGAGGGAAUCUGGUCUUAUUUUGCCAACAAGAUUGGGAUCUAUAAUUCGUUCCAACUGUCCAUUCUUCUGACACUCCAUUGCCCAAUUAGCUAAGCUGAACAUCUUCCUCGAACGAGAUGAAUCCAUGGCAGGCCUAGCACAAAGAACUUCAAAUAAAACAACACCGAAAGAAUAAACAUCAGAUUUUUCUGUCACCAGACUACUUAAAUAAUAUUCAGGGUCAAGGUAAGCCACAGUUCCCUUUACGAUUGUGGUAACACGGGUUUGAUCAGGCUCAGUCCCUUUCUUGGAUAUUCCAAAAUCACUAAUUUUUGCCACAAAAUUCUCAUCAAGCAAUAUGUUUAAAGACUUGACAUCACGAUGUAUAACUGCGUUAGUAUGAAGGUAGUGCAGACCUCUGGCUGCCCCGAUGCAUAUCUCCAGCCUCUGCUCCCAGCUCAUACUAGGUAGAUCUGACCCAUACAAAUGAUUCCUGAGGUUCCCAUUCUCCAUGUACUCAUAAAUUAGAAUCAUCUCAUUAUUUUCAUCACAGUAUCCAAUCAAUGAAACCAGAUGUGGAUGGCAGAACUUUGAGAGAAUCUCAAUUUCUGUUUGGAACUCUUGAAGACCUUGAUUGGAUUCAGGCGUAUACCUUUUCAAGGCGACCUUUGUUCCAUCACACAAAAGCACCCUGUAAAUCUUCCCAAAUCCACCCACUCCAAUGACCAAACUCUCAUCAAAGUUGUUAGUUGCUUCCUGCAAAGCUACAAAAGGAACUCGAAAACUUUCAAAAGGAACGUGAUAACUCAUCGUAUCAGUUACGUAAGUUGUUGCCUUGGAAUACUUGGUUCCCAUGGUGGAGUGCAACUAGUAUUUGACUGGGCAAACUGCUCCUGUUUUGUUGAGCAAAAUCGGAAACUCACAACUAAAUCUCGUGAUCGGAAGACUUCACUGUCUCAAAGUUGCAAACAAAUGGUAUAACAGAAGAAAAAAUGAACUCCUAACAGUAAGCAUGUAGAUGAAAAUCACAAAUAUAUGUAUACAAAACAGAAGCUUGAGGAACCUCUGAUUAUACCACAACUGAGGAAAUUUGGAGAGAAGACAGAGAGAUUGAUAGUUAUUGUGGAAGAGAGAAUCGAAAAGAAAAUUACCUCUUCACUAAUGGAUUUGGGCAAUACUUGCGUAUAUUAUAUGUAUUAAGUAAAUUACUUAGUCAAAUAGCUUAGUCAUGAUGUUCAGUAAUAUUUGUUUACAAAAAUAUUACUCAAUAAUGGUUAUAUAUUAUCUUAAAAUGUCAUUCAACUUUAUUUUUUAAUAGGAAAGUUGCUAUACAAUUGUCAUUUUGUAAACAGAUCGAAUAUUAUAUGUAAACAGAUUGAGUAAUAUUUUGAAUUGCUCCGCGAACUUUUAAGAUCUGCAGUUCCAUUCUGAAAGCUGAAUAUAUAUAUAUAUAUAUAUUUUAUAUGACUAUGUCAAAGCAGCAAACUUCCUUUUGCCUCUUUACAAUAAGAAAGUGUAUGAAGAACUUAAAAAAAACCAUAUACAAUUAAUAUGUGUAACUGCCGGACACACCUAAUAAAAUGAAAGAAGGAUCCACAGGUAGAGCAUUUCAAGUUUUCAAAGUUAACUUUCUAUAUAAAACUCAGAAGACUUACAAAAACAAAAAUAUAUCUUUAUAUGAUCCACCAACAAAAGUGGAAUUAACAAACACCUGAGGAUGGUAUGCACCAUUUUCACUUAGUUAUCAACCAUCAGACUUGAUCAAUUUCUAGAAACCAGCAGCACAGAGAUCAUCCGAAUUUGAUGAGAUCAUCCAGAUCUGAGCAUCAAAUGACUGAAAUCAUAGACUUGAAGUCAGGGGCAGAGCUACUCUUGCCCGAGGGGUGUCAAGCAGCACUCCUUUGCUGGAAAAUUACAUUAUAUAUAGGUUAAUUUUGCUUUAAUAAAUAUAUAUACUAGUGUUACACCAAUCACUUUUUUUUCUUUCUAAACAACUAAAACGACAUGCACAUUACAGCCUUUCUCGUGCAUUUAUUUCUUUAUAUUUUGAUAACCCUUAAUGAAAAUCCUAGCUCCACCACUGCUUGCAGUCAAGAUCAUCUUAAAUAACAGACUCUUGGAGUGCAUACUCCAGUUUCCACAACACUUCACCCAUUGAUGGCCUAUCUUCACUAGACAAAGCUAAACAUUUCACCGCUGUUUCACCAAAUUUCCUGAGGGACUCUGGUCUUAUUUUGGCUGCAAGAUCGGGAUCAAUAAUUUGUUCCAACUGUCCCUUAUUAUGCGACUCCACUGCCCAUUCAGCUAAACUCACCAUCUCCCUUGGAAGAGAUUGAACUAUGGCAGGCCUAGCACAAAGAACUUCAAAUAAAACAACACCGAAAGAAUAGACAUCAGAUUUUUCUGUCAGUUGUCCCCUUAAAAAAUAUUCAGGGUCAAGGUAGCCGAUAGUUCCUUGCACCAGGGUGCUAAGAUGGGUUUGAUCAAGCUCAGUCCCUUUCUUGGAUACUCCAAAGUCAGUAAUUUUUGCCACAAAAUUCUCAUCAAGUAAUAUGUUGAUAGACUUGACAUCACGAUGUAUAACUGCGCUGGUAUGAAGGUAGUGCAGACCUCUUGCUGCCCCGAUGCAUAUCUCCAGCCUCUGCUCCCAGCUCAUAGUGGGUAGAUCUGAGCCAUACAAAUGGCUCCUGAGGUUCCCAUUCUCAAUGUAGUCAUAAACUAGAAUCAUCUCAUUUCUUUCAUCACAGUAUCCUAUCAAUGAAACCAAAUGCGGAUGGCUGCAAAAAGAGAGAAUCUCAAUUUCUGUUUGGAACUCUUCAAUACCUUGUGAGGACUCACGCUUAUACCUCUUCAGGGCCACCUUUGUUCCAUCACGCAAAACACCCCUGUAAACUUUCCCAAAGCCACCCAACCCAAUGUGAAACUUCUCAUCAAAGUUGUUAGUUGCUUCCUGCAAAUCUACAAAAGGAACACGACGACAACUCGAGUUUAAAUCAUCAUUUAUGGAAUUUAUUGCCUUGGAAUACUUGCUUCCCAAGGUUGAGUGCUACUAAUAACCUUCAAAUAACAUUAUUUAAGCUAUCACUGAGCAUAAGGUAAUUUCUGAUUGUGUUUUUUGUAGAAUAAAUCUGGAAACAGAGAUGCAUUAAUUUAUC